AGUAUCAUUAAGUGAAUACAUAGCUUAAUGAGGGGAACUCAGGGAACUGAAACAUCUAAGUACCUGAAGGAAGAGAAAGAAAUUCGAUUCCGUAAGUAGCGGCGAGCGAACGCGGAUUAGCCCAAACCAAUAAAGUUUUCUUUAUUGGGGUUGCGGAAAUAUCAUAACGAAGAGGUAUCGUAAUUGAAGAGGUUUGGAAAGACCCACCACAGAAGGUAAUAGUCCUGUAUGUUAAACGAGAAGACUUUAGAUAUGAUCCAGAGUACCACGGGACACGUGAAACCCUGUGGGAAGCAGGAGGGACCACCCUCCAAGGCUAAAUACUACCUAGUGACCGAUAGCGUAUAGUACCGUGAGGGAAAGGUGAAAAGAACCCCGGGAGGGGAGUGAAAUAGAACCUGAAACCCUGCACUUACAAGCUGUGGAAGCACAUUUCUUGUGUGACCGCGUACUUUUUGUAGAACGGGCCAACGAGUUACGUUAAGUAGCAAGGUUAAGCACUUAAGGUG
rnacentral:rRNA from 1 species